rnacentral:rRNA from 1 species
CCUACGGGAGGCAGCAGUAGGGAAUAUUGCUCAAUGGGGGAAACCCUGAAGCAGCAACGCCGCGUGGAGGAUGAAGGUUUUCGGAUUGUAAACUCCUUUUGUUAGAGAAGAUAAUGACGGUAUCUAACGAAUAAGCACCGGCUAACUCCGUGCCAGCAGCCGCGGUAAUACGGAGGGUGCCAGCGUUACCCGGAAUCACUGGGCGUAAAGCGCGCGUAGGCGGGAUAGCAAGUCAGAUGUGAAAUCCUAUGGCUUAACCAUAGAACUGCAUUUGAAACUGGUAUGCUAGAGUAUGGGAGAGGUAGGUGGAAUUCUUGGUGUAGGGGUAAAAUCCGUAGAGAUCAAGAGGAAUACUCAUUGCGAAGGCGACCUGCUAGAACAUAACUGACGCUGAUGCGCGAAAGCGUGGGGAGCAAACAGGAUUAGAUACCCUAGUAGUC